CGAUUUGAUCUUCCUGAGAGUUAAUCUGCGUUAAGUACUCCAUCCAUUGCUGUAAACACUGCGACUGGCAGAGCCAUACAGAGAUCUCGCAGGUCAAUUUAGAAUUCGCCAUGCAAUUUCAGGUGUGGAAGUUGCCCGUUCUCUGCCUCCUGUUCUGUUACUGGAGCUCGACAUCAACAGUGACCGGAUUUACUACCGAACAAUUAAAAAGGGUCACGGAUUAUGUCAGCCAGACAUACGGGAUUACAAAGCAGUACGCCUACGUGAUUACAUUUGAUAAGACUGAAUGUGAACAACUGACUGAUCAAAAUAUAAAGGAUGCUCUGAA